GACGAACGCUGGCGGCGUGCUUAACACAUGCAAGUCGAACGGAAAGACCCUGCUUUUGUGGGGUGCUCGAGUGGCGAACGGGUGAGUAACACGUGAGUAACCUGCCCUUGACUUUGGGAUAACUUCAGGAAACUGGGGCUAAUACCGGAUAGGAGCUCCUGCUGCAUGGUGGGGGUUGGAAAGUUUCGGCGGUUGGGGAUGGACUCGCGGCUUAUCAGCUUGUUGGUGGGGUAGUGGCUUACCAAGGCUUUGACGGGUAGCCGGCCUGAGAGGGUGACCGGCCACAUUGGGACUGAGAUACGGCCCAGACUCCUACGGGAGGCAGCAGUGGGGAAUAUUGCACAAUGGGCGGAAGCCUGAUGCAGCAACGCCGCGUGCGGGAUGACGGCCUUCGGGUUGUAAACCGCUUUCGCCUGUGACGAGGCGUGAGUGACGGUAAUGGGUAAAGAAGCACCGGCUAACUACGUG
rnacentral:rRNA from 1 species